rnacentral:pre_miRNA from 1 species
AGCUUAAAGGACCCCCAGAACUUUAAUGUGGAUGUACUUGCUUUGUUUCUGAAAAAGUAAGUGCUUCCAUGUUUUGGUGCUGGUGAAUCCUGCUCU